rnacentral:rRNA from 1 species
AGUGAACGCUGGCGGUAGGCCUAACACAUGCAAGUCGAACGGCAGCACAGUAAGAGCUUGCUCUUACGGGUGGCGAGUGGCGGACGGGUGAGGAAUACAUCGGAAUCUACUUUUUCGUGGGGGAUAACGUAGGGAAACUUACGCUAAUACCGCAUACGACCUACGGGUGAAAGCAGGGGAUCUUCGGACCUUGCGCGAUUGAAUGAGCCGAUGUCGGAUUAGCUAGUUGGCGGGGUAAAGGCCCACCAAGGCGACGAUCCGUAGCUGGUCUGAGAGGAUGAACAGCCAAACUGGAACGGAGACACGGUCCAGACUCCUAAGGGAGGCAGCAGUGGGGAAUAUUGGAAAAUGGGCGCAAGCCUGAUCCAGCAAUACCGCGUGGGUGAAGAAGGCCUUCGGGUUGUAAAGCCCUUUUGUUGGGAAAGAAAAGCAGCAGGGUAAAACCCCGCUGGUCCGACGGUACCCAAAGAGUAAGCACCGGCUAACUUCGUG